rnacentral:lncRNA from 1 species
AAACGUAAUAAAGAAUAUACGUUUUUCCACGAAAAUUGCGUUUUUAUUUAUGAAGGUGGGUGACGGUCCAUACGUCAGCAUGGUUUAGGAAAGGCUGUUUACAUUUGUGGGAAAUGUACCUUUAUCAUAGCGUAUGCUCUUGGUUUUAAACCGUUAAGAGAUAUAAGGGAGCUAACCUAUAUAAUAAUAAAUGUUUAAAUACAUGUAUAAUAUGAAAAUGUACAUGGAUGAGUAUCUGAAGGGAGGGUAACAAGCUUUAUUUAAUUCAUGCACUGUGUAAAUGUAUAACAUGUUAAUACUGCUAAAAUAAGUCAGUCUGGAAUUGGUUAUAGGCUACAUGUUUUUAUUCAGUGUAUUGUUUUCAAGAUUCGUAUCCUACAUUACAUAAUAUACAUUUGUUGACAUCCAUACCUGAGCGCAUAUAUAUAUAUAUAUAUAUAUAUAUAUAUAUAUAUAUAUAUAUAUAUAUAUAUAUAUAUAUAUAUAUGUAUGUGUGUGUACAGUUUAAGCAUUUAAUAGACGCUAUUGCUCCGGCCGUAAGUAAGGAUACGCAACUACCGCUCAACCGGAUGUGCGCGCUACCGUCCGUGAAAAAGGCCUAUUGAGGCAAAAAAC